rnacentral:rRNA from 1 species
GGCGAGUGAAGCGGGAAGAGCCCAGCACCGAAUCAUCCUCCUUUAGGUGGAAGAAUUGUGGUGUUUAGGACGUUCUUCUUUGCAUUGCAAUUGCGUCUGAGUCCUCCUGAUUGGGGCUAUCCCAUAGUGGGUGUAAGGCCUCUACUGAUGCUAAGCUUUGCGAUUUGAAUUGUCCUUGGAGUCGGGUUGUUUGGGAAUGCAGCCCAAAGUGGGUGGUAAACUCCAUUUAAGGCUAAA